AGCCUUAUACUCUCGUUGCUUCUUUGCACUUCACAGUCACCCUCCUGUGUCUGUCUUCCUUUGAGUUUCCAGCGACGAAGUUACCGGAACAGAGACCAGAGCUCUAGCAACUCAGCUGAGAUUCAUUGGUGGGAGCUAGCGCCAUAAUCUCCGAACUAACGAGAUUUUCUUCAGGGUGGGCAGGUAGAGAGGGAUUGAACUACAUGUAGGUGCAAUCGAUGUGGAAACUAUUGCAUCGUCUAGGGUUUCUUCCAACGACUCUUCAACUCUCUCCUGAAACAGAAGUGUCUCUCUUUAUCUCUCUCUGCAUCUCACUAAGCAAUCAAGGUCUAGAGCUUUAAUUUCCUCCUGGGAAUCAGAGCAUGGAGUCGCAUUCUCAGGAGCAACACACAAUCCACGGCCACAGGCGCGGACCUUCCAACUCGGAAUUUCUGUGCCCCGUUUUGGCGUUGGCUAUGAAUUCUACGGAUCAGAAAAAUCCUUCUGAAACUUCUGAGCUGUUGCCUCCUCGUAUGGACUUUGGAGAAGUCCGGAAGUACUCGAUACUGAUUUGUGAAUCAUGGAAUAUGAUUACAAAUUUCGAUUUUCAGUUGUAAGGCAUUCGCCUUCUGAAAAAUUUCGCUUCCAUUUUCGUGAGUGGGGGGAAUUCUCGAGAUCGAAUGAUUAGAUUUUUGUGUCUUAGAACACCACAUCCGGUGCUGGGUUUCUUCUCGAUCUAUCAUCGGAUCAAACUGUGUAGCCGAAUCCCACAACGUAGGUUUUCAGCCCCGUGCGUCCAAUUAGUGGAUGACUCUGAGAAUUCCUCUUGCUCUGCAUUGGGGUUUAAUACUAAUUAUGAUUCCCAUACAUACGCUCGGAUGUUCCAGGACUGCACCGGCAAUGGAAAUGCCAGAAAGUGGGGGAUGGGAAUCCACGGUGAUGUUCUCAAGAGGGGGAACUGUUUGGAUUUGUUCGCUUGGAACGUUCUUCUUAACAUGUAUGUGAAAGAAGGCCUCCUCGCUGACGCACGAACUUUGUUUGAUGGAAUGCGGGACAGAAAUACUAUUUCAUUUGUUACCUUAAUUCAGGGUUAUUCACAGUCUGUCCAAUUUGACGAGGCAAUCAAGUUGUUCAUCAGGCUGCGUAGAGAGGACCAUGAACUCAACCCCUUUGUCUUUACAACAAUUCUGAAGUUGCUUGUGAGUACCGGUUCUGCAGAGCUUUGUUGGCGAAUCCAUGCCUGCAUUUUUAAGCUUGGCCAUGAUUCAGAUGCAUAUGUUGCGACAGCUCUCAUUGAUGCCUAUUCAGUGUGUGGACUUGUUGAUGAAGCCAAGAAAGUAUUUGAUAAGAUUGCUGAGAGGGACAUGAUUUCUUGGACUGGGAUGAUAGCUUGCUAUGCUGAAAAUGACUACUUCAAUGAGGCUUUGGAACUCUUCUCCCAAAUGAGGAAGGUCAACCUCAAGCCAAACAAUUUUACUUUUGCUAGUUCACUCAAGGCCUCCGUUGGCCUGCCUGCCUUUGACUUGGGCAAGGGGAUCCACGGAUGUGCCUUAAAAACCCGGUAUGAGCUGGAUCUUUAUGUAGGUUGUGCUUUGCUUGAUUUGUACACUAAGUUUGGAGAUAUUAAUGAUGCUCAGAUUGUUUUUGAGGAGAUGCCUCAGAAACAUGUGAUUCAUUGGAGUUUCAUGAUUGCACGUUAUGCUCAGAGUGAUCGAAGCGAGGAGGCCUUGAAGCUAUUUUUUCGGAUGAGACGAGACUUAGUGGUCCCUAAUCAGUUUACAUUUGCUAGUGUUUUCCAGGCCUGUGCAACCAUGGAAGCUCUAGUAUUUGGGAAGCAAACACAUGGCCAUGUUCUGAAGGUUGGACUUGAUUUUGACAUUUUUGUAAGAAAUGCCCUUAUGGAUGUCUAUGCUAAAUGUGGAAUUAUGGAGGACUGUAUGAAAUUAUUUGUGGAGUCACCCGAAAGAAAUGAUGUGACUUGGAAUACACUGAUUGUGGGGUAUGUGCAGCUAGGAUAUGGAGAGGAGGCACUGAGACUCUUCUCUGAGAUGGUUAAUGACCUAGUCCAGCCAACCCAAAUUACAUACUCUUGUACUCUUCGUGGUUGUGCAAACUUAACAGCGUUGGAGGCAGGUCUUCAGAUCCACUGUUUGAUUGUGAAAACCAUUUUUGAUAAGGACACAGUUGUUUGUAAUGCUUUGAUUGACAUGUAUGCCAAGUGUGGGAGCAUUAAAGAUGCCCGUUCCAUAUUUGAUGCUAUGAGUGAACGAGAUGAAGUUUCUUGGAAUUCUAUGAUCGCAGGAUAUUCCCUACAUGGUUUAAGUGAAGAUGCUCUGGGGAUUUUUGAGAGGAUGAGGGAAACAGAAAUUAUACCCAACAAGAUAACCUUUAUAGGUGUCCUAUCAGCAUGUAGCAACAGGGGUUUGGUGGAUUGGGGCCAGUCUUAUUUUCACUCCAUGGUUCAGGACUAUGGCAUUAUGCCAUGCAUAGAGCAUUAUACUUGCAUGGUAUGGCUCCUAGGACGUUCAGGUCGUCUUGAUGAGGCUCUUAAGAUCAUCGAGGAAAUUCCAUUUGAGCCUAGUGUUAUGUUAUGGAGAGCUCUGCUUGGUGCCUGUGUAAUACACAAUGAUAUUGAGCUUGGAAGAAUUUCUGCAGAGCGGGUUCUUGAGAUGGAACCCCAUGAUGAGGCAGCGCAUGUGUUAUUGUCAAAUAUGUAUGCCACUGUGAAAAAAUGGGACAAUGUAAUUUCCAUUAGGAAAUACAUGAAAAGGAAAGGAGUUAAAAAAGAACCAGGCCUUAGCUGGAUUGAAAACCAAAGCAAUGUUCAUUAUUUCAGUGCAGGUGACAGAUCACACCCUGAUAUACGGAUAAUUAAUGGGAUGCUGGAGUGGCUGAACAUAAAGAUUAGAAGGGAAGGGUACAUUCCCAACCGCAAUGUUGUUUUGCUUGAUGUUGAGGAGGAUGAAAAAGAAAGCCUCCUUUGGUUACACAGUGAGAGACUAGCCUUAGCUUUUGGGCUUUUUAGAACACCACCUGGGAGUCCAGUUCGUAUCAUUAAGAACCUCAGAAUAUGUGCAGAUUGCCAUGCUGCAGUCAAGUUGAUAUCAAAAGUAGUCCGGCGUGAAUUCAUUGUUCGAGAUAUGAAUCGCUUCCAUCAUUUUGAGGAUGGUAUUUGCUCUUGUGGUGAUUAUUGGUGAUGGUUGUGCACUAAAGACACAAAAAAAUUCCUGUGGACUGAGGUGCUGUGUUUUGGUAUAUGGCAGGUUGGAGAGACGUUUAGACAUUAAUUGUGAUCACAACAAUAUCAUAGAGACUACUACACUAAUUGGCGGCUUCUUGAUGACUGUAUUUUGCUGUUAGGAGAAGGAAUAUAAGGUAGGCCAAGCCACAUCAACCAAUGCCACAAUGCAGGUGAUUCACUUCAUGGAAUGGGGCCUUUGGCAACCUUAUAUUUGCGUCAUCCUAGUUGGAUGAUUACAAUAUCCACCCGUAAGGUCCUUGCAGUUUGCCAUUUUAUGUUAUUUUUUCUUCUCUUUGGGAGAGGGGAAAAAGAAUGAUAUGUAUGAACUAGAGCAGAAGUAGACUUAAGAUCUGAAGAUCAAUGUUACACAUGGUUUCAUCCUUAGUGAAACUAGUCAGAGGUUGCAAAUCUGUCCGUUUAUAGUAUCACAGAAUCAGCCAAAAACUCAGUGUAGGGGGGUGAAUGAUGUAAGGCUGAAGGACUUCACAUACGUGGAUGAGGUCCAUAGCAUUGGAGCAGUUGGGAAAACAGUACGGGGUGUCUAUGAGCUCUUAGGAGUGGAUACUGCAGACGUGGAUAUGUGGUGGUUAUAUUGCUGGAUCUAAGGUUUUACCUCUUUUGUUCCUCAAAGUUUGUCAUGCCUACAGUAUAAAUUGAGCAUUGUUACUGGCAUUGCUUCAGUUUAUAAAUUGUUAAUAUUUGGUUGAAUAAUGUUUGCUAAAGGAAUUGGUUUAA